rfam:Toxocara canis scaffold1468, whole genome shotgun sequence.
GUAGCGAUGUCCGAGUGGUUAAGGAGUUUGACUCGAAAUCUAAUGGGCUGUGCCCGCAUAGGUUCGAAUCCUGCUCGCUGCG